AUGUAUUUGAUAACAAACACAAAGCACUGUGCGCAGCCUCAGACCGGGUGGGGGGCGGAAGAGCCCUUCGGAGAAAGCCCUCCUCCGUUAGAAACAAUAAAUAAGGGACCGAAGCGAUGCACGUUCCUUCACACACGCCCCAAAACGCACCUCGGCGAGCCUCGAGUGAGGGAAACAAGUCGGGCAGAGCUCCGAAAACACCUCUCUCCCUCUCUCUCCCGUAACCUCCUCGAGACUUGGAAACUAAGAGAGAUUUUUUUCUCCCCUUCCCGCCCUCCUGCCCACCUCCAACAGACCCUGGAGCUGGAGCCGGCGAGCCAGACUCGCAGCGCGCCCCCGGCCGCUGCGACAGGAGACAGCCGGCGGCGGGCCGGCCCCGGAGAGACAGCCCAGAGCCGCGGCCCCGCCGCCGCCGCUGGCCCGGUCGCCGGGGGUCUCUACCCGUUUCCCGCCCCCCCAGCCCGUCGCAGGCGACGUCCGGCCGCCCGGCUCUCAGCCCUGACUCUCGCCUUUCCACGCCCCCGCCCCCCCUCCACCCCCGCAGAGGAACAAAAGGAGGGUUCAGCCGGGUCACCGCUAGGCCGCCGAGGGGGCGGCGGCGCGGACCCCAGUGCGGCCGCCCCCCACACAAAGGGGCUGCCCACCCCGGGCGCAGCGUCGGCGCGCUCGUCCCCGCCCCUCGCACGGGCUCUCACCCACCUGCAGGUGUCUGUGCGUCUGUCCAUAGGAACGCGGGCAGCGAGGGGGGGCCUGCGGGAGCCGGGCAGAGCGGGCUGGACGGGGCGGGACGGAGGGGAGGGACGGAGUGAGCGCGGCCGCGGGGCCGGGGAGCGAAGGCAAGUGGAACAGCGAGGGCCACCGGCUCGCCACGGACAGCGGGGAGGGAGGGCGGGGGACGCCAGCCUGACUCGGCCGACCGGCGCGCGCCGCUCCGUGCGCCCCGGGCUCCGCGCGCCGGGCUCGGAGCGCGGCGGGCAGGCGGGGGCGGGCGCGGGCGGGGCGGGGCCGGCGCGCGGGGCGGGGGCUCGGACCCCGGGCUCCAGCCGGCACCGGAAACGCGCCGUGGUCCGCGAGACCCACAGGAAGUGUGUAACGGCACCUCCCACGACGCGCACCGAGCUAACGGCCGUCGCUGCCCGGAGGCGGUGUGCACCGACCUUCCUACUACACACACGCGCGCGCGCCCGAGCUCGGUCUCCGCAGCCCGACAGGUGUGGGAUCCACGAUCCCCACUGA
rnacentral:lncRNA from 1 species